AUACGAAGGGGGCUAGCGUUGUUCGGAAUUUACUGGGCGUAAAGCGCAUGUAGGCGGACAGUUUAAGUCAGGGGUGAAAUCCCGGGGGCUCAACCUCGGAACUGCCUUUGAUACUGGGUGUCUAGAGUGUGGAAGAGGUAAGUGGAAUUCCGAGUGUAGAGGUGAAAUUCGUAGAUAUUCGGAGGAACACCAGUGGCGAAGGCGGCUUACUGGUCCAUUACUGACGCUGAGGUGCGAAAGCGUGGGGAGC
rnacentral:rRNA from 1 species